rnacentral:rRNA from 1 species
GCAUCGAUGAAGAACGCAGCGAAAUGCGAUACGUAAUGUGAAUUGCAGAAUUCAGUGAAUCAUCGAGUCUUUGAACGCACAUUGCGCCCUCUGGUAUUCCGGAGGGCAUGCCUGUCCGAGCGUCAUU